UUGCUUUGGCAGCAUACAUACUAAAAUUGGAACAAUACAGAGAAGAUUAGUGUGGCCCCUGUGCAAGAAUGACACGCAAAUUCGUGAAGCACUCUAUAUUUUU
ensembl:snRNA U6 U6 spliceosomal RNA